rnacentral:rRNA from 1 species
GACGAACGCUGGCGGCGUGCUUAACACAUGCAAGUCGAACGGAAAGGCCCUGCUUUUGUGGGGUGCUCGAGUGGCGAACGGGUGAGUAACACGUGAGUAACCUGCCCUUGACUUUGGGAUAACUUCAGGAAACUGGGGCUAAUACCGGAUAGGAGCUCCUGCUGCAUGGUGGGGGUUGGAAAGUUUCGGCGGUUGGGGAUGGACUCGCGGCUUAUCAGCUUGUUGGUGGGGUAGUGGCUUACCAAGGCAUUGACGGGUAGCCGGCCUGAGAGGGUGACCGGCCACAUUGGGACUGAGAUACGGCCCAGACUCCUACGGGAGGCAGCAGUGGGGAAUAUUGCACAAUGGGCGGAAGCCUGAUGCAGCAACGCCGCGUGCGGGACGACGGCCUUCGGGUUGUAAACCGCUUUCGCCUGUGACGAAGCGUGAGUGACGGUAAUGGGUAAAGAAGCACCGGCUAACUACGUG